rnacentral:tRNA from 1 species
GGGCGGGUAGCUCAGCUGGCUAGAGCAUCGCCCUUACAAGGCGGGGGUCGCAGGUUCGAUUCCUGUCCCGCCCACCA